rnacentral:rRNA from 1 species
AGAGUUUGAUCCUGGCUCAGGACGAACGCUGGCGGCACGCUUAACACAUGCAAGUCGAACGAGAGAAGAGGAGCUUGCUUUUCUGAUCUAGUGGCGGACGGGUGAGUAACACGUGAGCAAUCUGCCUUUCAGAGGGGGAUACCGAUUGGAAACGAUCGUUAAUACCGCAUAACAUAAUUGAACCGCAUGAUUUGAUUAUCAAAGAUUUAUCGCUGAAAGAUGAGCUCGCGUCUGAUUAGCUAGUUGGUAAGGUAACGGCUUACCAAGGCGACGAUCAGUAGCCGGACUGAGAGGUUGAUCGGCCACAUUGGGACUGAGACACGGCCCAGACUCCUACGGGAGGCAGCAGUGGGGAAUAUUGCACAAUGGAGGAAACUCUGAUGCAGCGAUGCCGCGUGAGGGAAGAAGGUUUUAGGAUUGUAAACCUCUGUCUUCAGGGACGAAAAAAGACGGUACCUGAGGAGGAAGCUCCGGCUAACUACGUGCCAGCAGCCGCGGUAAUACGUAGGGAGCGAGCGUUGUCCGGAAUUACUGGGUGUAAAGGGAGCGUAGGCGGGAUCGCAAGUCAGAUGUGAAAACUAUGGGCUUAACCCAUAAACUGCAUUUGAAACUGUGGUUCUUGAGUGAAGUAGAGGUAAGCGGAAUUCCUAGUGUAGCGGUGAAAUGCGUAGAUAUUAGGAGGAACAUCAGUGGCGAAGGCGGCUUACUGGGCUUUAACUGACGCUGAGGCUCGAAAGCGUGGGGAGCAAACAGGAUUAGAUACCCUGGUAGUCCACGCCGUAAACGAUGAUUACUAGGUGUGGGGGGACUGACCCCUUCCAUGCCGCAGCAAACGCAAUAAGUAAUCCACCUGGGGAGUACGACCGCAAGGUUGAAACUCAAAGGAAUUGACGGGGGCCCGCACAAGCAGUGGAGUAUGUGGAUUAAUUCGAAGCAACGCGAAGAACCUUACCAGGUCUUGACAUCGUAUGCAUAGCUCAGAGAUGAGUGAAAUCUCUUCGGAGACAUAUAGACAGGUGGUGCAUGGUUGUCGUCAGCUCGUGUCGUGAGAUGUUGGGUUAAGUCCCGCAACGAGCGCAACCCUUACUGUUAGUUGCUACCCAAGAGCACUCUAGCAGGACUGCCGUUGACAAAACGGAGGAAGGUGGGGAUGACGUCAAAUCAUCAUGCCCCUUAUGACCUGGGCCUCACACGUACUACAAUGGCUGUCAACAGAGGGAAGCAAAGCCGCGAGGUGGAGCGAACCCCUAAAAGCAGUCUUAGUUCGGAUUGUAGGCUGCAACCCGCCUACAUGAAGUCGGAAUUGCUAGUAAUCGCAGAUCAGCAUGCUGCGGUGAAUACGUUCCCGGGCCUUGUACACACCGCCCGUCACGCCAUGGGAGUCGGUAACACCCGAAGCCUGUAGUCUAACCGCAAGGAGGACGCAGUCGAAGGUGGGAUUGAUGACUGGGGUGAAGUCGAACAAGGUA